rnacentral:tRNA from 1 species
UGGGGGAUCGUCCAGUGGUAGGACAGCAGACUCUGAAUCUGUUUACGGGGGUUCGAAUCCUCCUCCCCCAACCA